AAAAAGUUUUAUUUUAGCUUGAAAUAUUGGUUUAUAAUUUUUUUACAUGUAAGUUAAAGCAUUAAAUUUUAAAAAUUUAAAUAAUUUUUAUUUUAUAAAUUAGUCGCAGUUUUUAAGUUUUAAAAUUAAAGAAAUUUAGAUUAAGAAAUUUAUAUUAAUAUUAACAAAAUUUGUGCCAGCAGUUGCGGUUAUACAAAUAAUAUGAUUAAUAUUUAUUAAUUAAUAAUUAAUUGUUAUUAUUAAUAAUUAAAAGUUAAAUUUAUUAAGUGAAAUUUUAAAUUUAAUUAAAUUUAUAUAAAAAAUUAUGAGGUUAUUAAAUUUUUAUUUAAACUAGGAUUAGAUACCCUAUUAUUUAAAAAGUAAAAUUAAAUAUUAAAUUAUUAAUAGUUAUAGUCUUUAAAAUUAAAAAAUUUGGCGGUAUUUUAGUCUUUUCAGAGGAACCUGUUCUAUAAUUGAUAUUCCACGAUUAAUUGUACUUAUUUUAUUAGUUUAUAUAUCGUCGUAGGUUGAAUAUUUUAUAAGAAUUUAAAUGUUCAAGAUUUAUAAUUAUAAAUUAAAUCAGAUCAAGGUAUAGCUUAUAAAUAAGAAGAAAUGGGUUACAAUAGAUUUAUUUAAAUGGAUUUAAAAUUGAAAAAUUUUUAUGAAGGUGGAUUUGAAAGUAAUAUAAUUAAUUUAAAUUAUAUGAUUUAAGCUCUAUAAUAUGUACAUAUCGCCCGUCGCUCUCAUAUAAAAUGAGAUAAGUCGUAACAAAGUAGAUGUACUGGAAAGUGUAUCUAGAAUUAA
rnacentral:ncRNA from 1 species